rnacentral:rRNA from 1 species
UACGGAGGGUGCAAGCGUUAUCCGGAUUUAUUGGGUUUAAAGGGUCCGUAGGCGGACUGUUAAGUCAGCGGUGAAAGCCCACAGCUCAACUGUGGAACUGCCGUUGAUACUGACAGUCUUGAGUACAAGUGAGGUUGGCGGAAUGUGUGGUGUAGCGGUGAAAUGCUUAGAUAUCGGAAGGAACAUCAGUGGCGCAGGCGACUUCCUGGACAGAUACUGACACUGAGGCACGAAAGCGUGGGGAGCAAACAGG